AGCCAGACUCCUACGGGAGGCAGCAGUGGGGAAUAUUGCACAAUGGGCGCAAGCCUGAUGCAGCCAUGCCGCGUGUAUGAAGAAGGCCUUCGGGUUGUAAAGUACUUUCAGCGGGGAGGAAGGCAAUACGGUUAAUAACCGUGUUGAUUGACGUUACCCGCAGAAGAAGCACCGGCUAACUCCGUGCCAGCAGCCGCGGUAAUACGGAGGGUGCAAGCGUUAAUCGGAAUUACUGGGCGUAAAGCGCACGCAGGCGGUCUGUCAAGUCGGGUGUGAAAUCCCCGGGCUCAACCUGGGAACUGCAUUCGAAACUGGCAGGCUUGAGUCUCGUAGAGGGGGGUAGAAUUCCAGGUGUAGCGGUGAAAUGCGUAGAGAUCUGGAGGAAUACCGGUGGCGAAGGCGGCCCCCUGGACGAAGACUGACGCUCAGGUGCGAAAGCGUGGGGAGCAAACAGGAUUAGAUACCCGAGUAC
rnacentral:rRNA from 1 species